ensembl:lncRNA
CAGUUAAACUAGCUGCGUUAGUUACCCAGAUGAGAGCAUGAAGAUCCAUCUGUGUCAAGUGGCUUUAGUGUUGCUUGGUUGUUUCUUUAUUUUGGGCUUGUUUUGUUUAGUUGUUUUUGCUAGAAUAAUGGCAUCUACUUUUCCUGUUCUUCCCUAACCAUUUUAAAGAGUGAAAAUGGGAAGAGCUUUAAAGACGUUCACUGACUAUUACUUUCCUUCACUCAUCUACUUAAGUAACUGUUGGAUCUUACUAAGAAAACUGAUGCCUCAUAAUAAAAAAGAACUUAGAGGCCGAUAGGUUUUAAAAAUAUACAAACUAUUUGAUCCAGUGAUUUUAAUCAAACAGUUUGACUGGGCAAACUUUGCAGCUGAUAAUGACGAUUUCGCUUUUUACAAAUUGCCACUGAUUUGGAUUUAAUUUCUUUAAUUAACUCUAACCUUUAAUUUAUUGAUGCUCUAUUGUGCAGUAGAUUUCAUUUAAGAAAAGGCUCAUAUAGUACUAUCCAAAACUAGUUGGUGAUGUGAUUAUGUGGUACCUUGGCUUUAGGUUUUAAUUGGAAUGAGACACCCUUUGGCAUGCUUAACUUUCUGGUAUUUCCCUCUCCUGCACUGGUUUUUGUUUUUUGGGUUUUUGCUGUUGUUUGCUUUUUGUUUGUUUUUAGAUCCACAGAACAUGAGAAUCCUUGUGAGGAGCCUUGGAAAGCUGGCUCUUCUUUCCUCUCUCUGUGAAGGAUGUGUUUAAAUGAACGCUGACCAUCUUUCUUAUUCAAGGAUUCUGUCCCCUCCUGUGGACUUAGAACUGACAACUAGAGAUGGAUCUUUGCAUGUUCCAGGGAGCCUGGGCUAAUAAAUGAAUUCAAAGUCACCAAGGUACCCAGUGUGAUAGUGUCUUCUGUGUGGAUAAUGUGGCUUUCUUUCAGAUGUCACUUUGUGGUGUAAUCACUGCCAUACUUUAUCCAUGCUGUCAUGUGUUCUCCUAAUCUCAGUAUAUAAGAGUCUACAACACACAAUCAUAAUUGACCCUGUGCACCACAUACUGAAUAAUAUACACUCAUUGCUAUACAGCUGCAAAAAAAUUGACAACAUUCAGAAAGGAAUAUAGAAGUCAUCCUAAUGGAGAACCAUGUGUUUCAGCUUUUCUUGCAAUACAGCAUCAAUAUUAACCCCAGAGAUUCUGACCUUCAAAGUCGUGUUGGGAAACAGGUUUAGACAGAUGCUCUUGUCCUUGACCAUAAGUAUGCUGUGUUUUUAUUGUUGCAGAUUAGACUUAGUUUUAUCAUUUAUGUCAAUAGAUCUUAUUUUCUACUUUAUGUCCGUG